rnacentral:rRNA from 1 species
CCUACGGGAGGCAGCAGUAGGGAAUCUUCCGCAAUGGACGCAAGUCUGACGGAGCAACGCCGCGUGAGUGAAGAAGGUCUUCGGAUCGUAAAGCUCUGUUGUUAGAGAAGAACAGCGCAUAGAGUAACUGUUAUGCGUGUGACGGUAUCUAACCAGAAAGCCACGGCUAACUACGUGCCAGCAGCCGCGGUAAUACGUAGGUGGCGAGCGUUGUCCGGAUUUAUUGGGCGUAAAGGGAGUGUAGGCGGUCUUUUAAGUCUGAUGUGAAAGCCCACGGCUCAACCGUGGAGGGUCAUUGGAAACUGGGAGACUUGAGUGCAGAAGAGGAGAGCGGAAUUCCAUGUGUAGCGGUGAAAUGCGUAGACAUAUGGAGGAACACCAGUGGCGAAGGCGGCUCUCUGGUCUGUAACUGACGCUGAGGCUCGAAAGCGUGGGGAGCAAACAGGAUUAGAUACCCUGGUAGUCCACGCCGUAAACGAUGAGUGCUAAGUGUUGGAGGGGUUCCACCCUUCAGUGCUGGAGUUAACGCAAUAAGCACUCCGCCUGGGGAGUACGACCGCAAGGUUGAAACUCAAAGGAAUUGACGG